rnacentral:rRNA from 2 species
UGGAUCCAGACUUUGAUCAUGGCUCAGGACGAACGCUGGCGGCGUGCUUAACACAUGCAAGUCGAACGAUGAAAGAGAAUCCGAUCUCUUCGGAGUGAAGAAUCUCUGGAUUAGUGGCGGACGGGUGAGUAACGCGUGAGCAAUCUGCCUUACACAAAGGGAUAGCCUCGGGAAACCGGGAUUAAUACCAUAUGAUAUCUAUUAACCGCAUGGUUUAUAGAUUAAAGAAUUUCGGUGUAAGAUGAGCCCGCGUCCCAUUAAUUAGUUGGUGAGGGUAACGGCCCACCAAGAUAGCGAUGGGUAGCCGAUCUAAGAGGAUGACCGGCCACAUUGGAACUGAGAAACGGUCCAAACUCCUACGGGAGGCAGCAGUGGGGAAUAUUGCACAAUGGGGGAAACCCUGAUGCAGCGACGCCGCGUGAGCGAUGAAGGCUUUCGAGUCGUAAAGCUCUGUCCUAUGGGAAGAUAAUGACGGUACCAUAGAAGAAAGCCCCGGCUAAUUACGUGCCAGCAGCCGCGGUAAUACGUAAGGGGCGAGCGUUGUCCGGAAUUACUGGGCGUAAAGAGUGCGUAGGCGGCAAAUUAAGUCAGAUGUGAAAACUAAGGGCUCAACCCAUAGAUUGCAUCUGAAACUGAUAUGCUUGAGUCAAGGAGAGGAAAGUGGAAUUCCUAGUGUAGCGGUGGAAUGCGUAGAUAUUAGGAGGAAUACCGGUGGCGAAGGCGACUUUCUGGACUUGAACUGACGCUGAGGCACGAAAGCGUGGGGAGCAACCAGGAUUAGAUACCCUGGUAGUCCACGCCGUAAACGAUGAGUGCUAGGUGUCUGCUCAUACGAGUAGGUGCCGUACGUUAACACAUUAAGCACUCCGCCUGGGGAGUACGUACGCAAGUAUGCAACUCAAAUGAAUUGACGGA